CGGGCGCUGCCUCAGCGCUCCCUCCUCGCCUGACCCGGUAGUGAAGGCCGAGAGAGAGGCUGCCUGGCACGGCCGGCAGAAGGCGGAGAGCGGCCGGGGCCGGGGGGGCGGGCGGGCAGCCGCAGAGCCCCGCAGCCGCCCCACUCCCCCCCCGCCCGGCCCCGGCCGAGAGGGGGCGCCCGUGGACAAAAUGGCGGGGGCUGCGCUGAGGGUGCCGCGCCCGGCAGCAGCUGCGCCGCACCCCUCAGCCGGUCUCGCGUCUCCCGUUCCCCCCUCACCGCCUCCCUCCAGCCCUCAAACACGGUCCCAUCCCGGCCUGGUUUCAGUCGCAGGGCUCCGGCCUGCGAGGGGCCAUGAGGGGCAGGGCGGGAGUGGAGAGGUGCCCAUCCCUUGAGGUUCCCCCAUUCCCCUCAGCAGUGCCCGGGUUCAGGGACAUCAGAGCCGUGCCUGCCUGGGCACCGUGAGGUUGCCAUGGGCCGAUGGGGUUUAGGAAAUGGUGUAAUAUCUGCCCGGGGUCCUGAGGAAGAAGGAUGGCGUGGAACGGGUAGACGGGUCAGAAGCUCGGCUUGUGACAAGCAAGGAUCCUGUAACAGGCUUCAAGUAGUGGCGAGAAAAACAACAGACAGCCAUUUACUUCCAAGAUCUCGAUGUACGCAGAGCGCUCAGUGGUUUCCCGUUCUGAGGUCUCGCACUUCAGAUUAUUGAGUUGUAUUGUACAUGGGCAUGUUUUUUAAUGCAGGUUACUGUGGUCACAAGGGAUGGCUAGUAUCACAGCUGAGGUUCCUAUGGAAACAGUCCUUUAUGUGAUCAUGCUUGGCUGUGUCUCCUCUACUUCUCCAAUAACUUUUGAAGCUGUUGGGUAGUUUCCACCAAAUUUAUCUCAAAUAUAAUUAAGUUAUUUCAUGAAAAUAGUCAGCUGGGUAGAGCUGAGAGAUCCUGUAAAUGUCCCAAAGGCUGCAACACAAACUUACCUUUUAUUAAACAGUGAUUCACAUGGAUGAGAGACUGUAGAAAUGUCUCAGUAAUGACAAAAGUUUCAAUUACAGCUCAUUAUCGGUCUCAGUAUAAAUCUGCGGGAAACCAGAGUUCUUGGGUUCCUGUUCUCCCAGAAUUACUUGUUUAAUGUCCUCCAGUCAGAAGUGGGUGCAAGUGGAAGGGGUACAUGAAGAGGGAAAGAGAUAAAUGAGAAAUUACAAAUGUCUAUUCUGCAAGUCAUUUCAUCUGCUUUGUUGUGUGGGCCUGGCCAUAAAGCUCAGUAUGACAGGGGCUUAACAAAACUGAGAUUAAAGGGAAAAAAAAAAAAAAAAAAAAAAAAGGGGGGGGGUGGAGAACAUACACAUAGAAAUACAAGAUGCAUUAGGACAGACAGCUGAAGAUGAGAAGGAAACUAAAGGCGCUUGGAAUGGGAAGGUGCUGAGGGGUUUUCACAGUGGGACAGAGAUUACAGCAAUGGUAUCCUCUUCUGAAUUCUCCUCUGAGGAGAGCCCCGCUGCUGCUAGAAGCAGGCUCUCUGGUUUUACAAAAGUCAGAAGAGAUGGGACUGAGACUAAGGUACUUGGAAAGAAAGCAAGAGAAUGCUCAAGAGUUGAUUAAGGUGAGACAACGAAAACUUGUUGGAGGUCAAAAACUUCCCCAGGUACCAAGUUCUGGGAGAGGAGCUAUCAAAAUAAAUUUGGUAUUUUCAUCAAUAAUAACUAACAGAAUGGGACUGCAUUGUGUUGCCAGGUCACUGAUGCUGAAAGUCCAUUCAUAGAUGACAUUUUAG